rnacentral:tRNA from 1 species
GCGAGAGUGGCGGAACUGGCAGACGCGCGAGACUUAGGAUCUCGUGGGCAUAACCGUGGGGGUUCGAGUCCCCCCUCUCGCACCA